AUGACACAAUCUUGUCAAUUAUUUAUUUAAUAAUCCACAAAUGAAUGUAACGAUUAACUUAUGAAACACUCUGACUUUUAUUUUGAAGGAAACACCUGUUUCCAUGAUAAGGUCACGUGACUGAUGUGAAACUGUAGCAGCAGUGUUUCUUUGUUUUGGUUCCUGCUCUUGGAGAAGUUAAGGAGAAUGAAACUGAUGAUAAGACGGAUAAUGUGAAACUGUAGCAGCAGUGUUUCUUUGUUUUGGUUCCUGCUCUUGGAGAAGUUAAGGAGAAUGAAACUGAUGAUAAGAUGGAUAUAUUGUUAUAGAAACGAAAACUGGAUUUAGAAUCAGAAACAGAGAAGAAGAGGUUUUGUUCACUCGGCUUAGAACAGGACACACUGGACUGAAUCAGACAAUAUUCAAAACAGACAAACAUCAGCAGGUUUGUGUGAAAACUGUGAGGUAUCGGAGUCAGUGUGAAUGUGUUACUGGAGUGGAGGAAAUGUGAGGGGCUACGAUGGGAAAUGUCUCAAGUGAUGGAGAAAGACGUUGUAAAUAUUACUGUUCAAACGCUUUUAGAAGUGCUUGAUACAAACAUCUCAUGAUUUACCUAAAAAAUACAGUAUUGAUGGAAAGAAUAGAAUUGGUUCCCUUGUUUGUCUCUUCAGUCCGGUGUGUGGCGAUAAUGCACCUUUAAAAUCGGUUGCCAGCCACCAAUCAAAUCUAAAGAAGAAAAAAAUUUGGUUAAUUCGAGUCAUAUAAAAGAAUGUAGUUUUUUUUUUUUUUUUUUUUUUUUUUUUCUAGUUUGUUUAUUUGUUUUUACUGGUUUUUAUGAUUCAUUUUCGUCCUAAAAGCAAAAUCCUGGUUCAUAAAUGUAUUCCAGUCGGUGGAGGUGAUGCACCAGUCAGUGAACAAACAUCAAAGAAGAAGAAGAAGAAGAAGUAACGCAGCAGCCGCGUGCGUAGAGUUUAAAACAUGUCGAGGUUUAUAUUCUAUCAUCAGACCACUAAGCAGAGAUAGACUGAAACGCAAAGUAUUCCUCUUUCAUUCCAGAGCAAUGAAAAGCGUUGAAGAAUAGUCUCUGUAUCAGUACAAGUGUUGCUCCACACUUGAUUUACUGCAUCAAACCAUAUGUGCAACAUAAUAUGAUGGGACAAUUCUACCGUAUUUAAUAAUGAACUUUAACUCUGAUUUUUAUUUUCAAACAGCGCUUGCUUCCGGGAAAAAAAGCCUUAUCUCUUCACAGAGGCUGCAAUAAUGCGUUAUGACCACCAGGCGGAAUAUAUGGAAAUGUUUUAUUAUGUUAAAUUUGUGCUAAAAAAAAUUAAAUCAGUCAAUGUUUCUAUUUAAUACUCAUAAUAAUAUACUGAAUAAUGCAUCAUUCAGUACAUACUACAUCUAAAUAUAUUACAGUGUAGCUGUAAAUACACUUGAGGACAACAGUUUACAUCUCCUUUGCAGAAUCUGCAAAAUGUUAAUUAUUUCCCCCAAAUAAGAGGGAUCAUACAAAAUGCAUGUUAUUGUUUAUUUAGUACUGACCUGAAUAUGAUAUUUCACAUAAAAGAUGUUUACAUAUAGUCCACACGAGAAAAUAAUAGUUUUCACAUUUUAAAAUAAUCACAUUUUAUUAUAGCAGAUAGAUGAGUUAAAUUUUCCCAAGGAGAUUUAGCACGAUUGCAAUGGUAGAAUAAAUGAAAUAAGGUCUCUUCCUCUAAUUUACA
ensembl:lncRNA